GGGAGCGUACUGGUUUCGACAGGUGGAUAUUCUUUCUACUUUGCACGUCGCAGGCUCGCCUGCGUUAAAAACGGAAAUUAAAUUUAAAUGCUGAAUCUAAAGCAAACAACGUUAACGUAAUGCCUGCUACCAACUUCGGUGCAGUUGCUUACGCUUAAUCGUAGGACAGUUCGCCUAAAUUCCUUUGGUAUGGCGGGAAUUUUGGCGGGCUUGAACCCCGACAUACCACUCCCAAGAAUAGUUUGUCGGCUUGGGGUUAAUUUAGACAAAAUCGCCUGAUUGAGAUUUGUUUGUUGUUCUUAAUUGGGUUAAAUUCUACAAUUAAACUAAACGUGUAGAGGGUGGAUUUGAAUACUGCUUGGACAUGGGUUCGAUUCCCAUCGCUUCCACCA
rnacentral:tmRNA from 1 species